rnacentral:snoRNA from 1 species
AAGAUAUAUCAUAUCUUCACACUCAUUUGUCGGCUGUUUAAUUAACCACGAUGAAGAGUUUAUAGCUCUUUUCCUUGAAUGUGAGGGCAUGAGAUCUCGUUUUGUCUCGGCUCGAGAUCUCUGUCGUUCAUUCUUUGCACUUAGUGCGAAGAGGAUGGGAAGUAGAGCUUUCUGAGUGCGU